rnacentral:rRNA from 1 species
AACGAACGCUGGCGGCAGGCUUAACACAUGCAAGUCGAGCGCCCCGCAAGGGGAGCGGCAGACGGGUGAGUAACGCGUGGGAAUCUACCCAUCUCUACGGAAUAACGCAUGGAAACGUGUGCUAAUACCGUAUACGUCAUUCGGGAGAAAGAUUUAUCGGAGAUGGAUGAGCCCGCGUUGGAUUAGCUAGUUGGUGGGGUAAAGGCCUACCAAGGCGACGAUCCAUAGCUGGUCUGAGAGGAUGAUCAGCCACACUGGGACUGAGACACGGCCCAGACUCCUACGGGAGGCAGCAGUGGGGAAUAUUGGACAAUGGGCGCAAGCCUGAUCCAGCCAUGCCGCGUGAGUGAUGAAGGCCCUAGGGUUGUAAAGCUCUUUUACCCGGGAUGAUAAUGACAGUACCGGGAGAAUAAGCCCCGGCUAACUCCGUGCCAGCAGCCGCCGUAACAC